rnacentral:misc_RNA from 1 species
ACACACCCCGUAACUGUUGUCCUUGGAUCACAAUGGGGAGAUGAGGGGAAAGGAAAAAUAGUUGACAUGAUCGCUGCCAAUGCCGACAUUUGCUGUCGCUGUCAGGGAGGCAACAAUGCAGGCCACACUGUUGUUAUUGGUGAAAAUGCUUAUGAUUUUCAUCUUCUGCCCAGUGGAAUAGUCAACAAAAAGUGCACAGCUGUUAUAGGAAAUGGGGUUGUGGUACAUCUGCCAAACUUGUUUGAAGAAAUAGAAAAGAAUGCUGCAAAGGGUUUGGAAGGUUGGCAAGACAGACUGUUGAUAUCAAACCGAGCCCACCUAGUGUUUGAUGUCCAUCAGAUGGUGGACGGUCUCCAGGAGUCCGGGCGUGGCAAAAAUGUAAUCGGAACAACAAAGAAAGGCAUUGGUCCGGCCUAUUCAUCUAAGGCAACUCGUAAUGGUCUGCGUGUGGGUGAUCUCGUUGGGGAUUUCUCUCUAUUUACAGAAAAAUUUAAGAAGUUGAUUGAAUACUACCAGAGUCACCACGAUGAUCUGGAAGUGGAUGUGAACAAAGAGCUGGAGAGAUACAAGGUAUUAAGAAACAAGGUGAAGCCGUUUGUGAAGGAUACAAUUCCAUACCUGGCCAAGGCCAUCAAAGAUGGGAAGAUUAUUCUGGUUGAAGGAGCCCAAUCUAAUGUUCUAGACAUUGACUUUGGAUUGUACCCGUAUGUGACAUCUUCCAACUGCAGUAUAGGAGGAGUUUGCACUGGACUGGGAAUCCCCCCUCACUGUCUGGGGGACAUUGUGGGAGUGGUCAAAGCUUACCUCACCAGGGUGGGCAGUGGGGGAUUUCCCACUGAACUCCACAAUGAAAUUGGUGAAAAACUUGUGAAUGUCGGACAUGAGUACGGAGUGACGACGGGAAGGAAGCGACGCGUGGGUUGGCUGGAUAUCGUCAUGUUACGUUACUCCUCCAUGAUCAACGGAUUCACACAUCUUGCCCUAACCAAGCUAGAUGUUUUGGAUGAUUUUGAUGAAGUAAAGAUAGGAAUAGCAUAUGAGAUGGAUGGAAUGAAAAACUAUGACAGUUUUCCAGCUCUUGAUGAAGAUCUCUGCCGAUUAGAGGUGGAAUAUUUGACACUGCCAGGAUGGAAAAGUGAUACCUCCGGAGCUCGGAACUUCUCAGAACUACCUCAGAAUGCCCAGAACUACGUUCGUAAGAUAGAAGAACUUGUCGGAGUACCAGUCAAAUGGAUUGGAGUGGGACAAGCCAGAGACUCUGUGAUUGAAGUCUGUUAACAUUUUAUCGCCUCCAACAUUAACAGUGGCAUAAAAAUGAAGAAAAUGACAAAUAUCAGAAAUCCACACCUCUAUACAUGUACCUGUUGGUGAUGGAAAAUAUUUUAUGAAAUUGUUUAACAAUAGAACUGACAAUACUAUUCCAUAUUUUAAGAUAUUAAAUUAUGUGACUGUGAUCUUUCAAUGAAUCAUGUUUUUAGAAAUUAUGAUAAAGCAUAUUAAUUAAAUGGAAAUGCUUAUAGUCCUGUGUAUGUGGCAAAUGUACACGUUUAUUUUUAUUUUUAUCACGGUAUUUGUGUCCCAUAUGAAAUGUUAAAAAAUCAAGAUCUACCAACAAUGAAAUGAGAUAUAUUGGUGACUUGUACAUGUUUUUUAUGUCUUCUGUAUCUACUGGUCAGUGUGUUAACCAGACUUCUGGGUAUUGAUUCAUUGUGUUCAUUGUAAUAUGGCAUAUCUGCAUAGUGUACCUGUUCAUCGUUGAUUCUUCAAUUAAUGUACUUUAGCAGCAGCUGCAGAAUUUUUAAAAAAAUUUUUUUACUAAAGAUUUGAAUUUGUUGAUUUUUUUUAUGUACAUUGCAUAGGGCAUAUUACAUGUACUGUAAUGCAGAAGUUAUAGAUUAUGUUGACAAGGAGAUUACAGUACUGACUUCAUGACUGAUAUUCUGCGGGUAUUUUAUGAAUUGCAUGGAACAAUUGUUCAGUCAUCUUUUUAUAGAUUUUUCUUUUUAAUGCCAGUGGUAACUUAAGUCUGUAUUUUGGUAGCUUUAUUAUUUUAAGUAAUGCUUAGUAUUGAGAACAUAAAAAUCUGAAUUGUGUCAAACUUAAAGAAAUAACAAAACACUGCUGGAUGUGUGUUAAUUGGCUGUCAAAAAGUAUUUGCUCAUAUAUUCUUUCUCAAGUUAUAUUUUAGAUACAUUGUAUACACAUAAAUACCUGUUUAAUAUUUUCUUACAUCAAAUUUACUCCUUUUCUAUUAAUUUAAUAAAAAAAAUUUCAUACCUGCAUAUUAAUAUAUAUUUUACAAUGAAAUGUACUGUUUUUAAAACCAUUUAUUAGUUUGACAUAAGUCAAAUUUUUCAACUUCAAGUUCCAUUGAAGUUUCAAGAGCCCAUGGCAAUAACUGACUGUCUCAAUGUUUAUUAAAGAAGGAAAAUGGUAAAGACACAUAUACAUGUAUUAACCUGUAAAUUCCAUGACUGUAAAGUAUACUGUCACAAUAUUGGGCUUUGACUUAGAAGGUCUAUAGGAUCUCCAUCUCUAUCUGGUUUCUUCAAACCUUCAGAGUGUUUGUUUGUUCGGCUUGGGUUAUUUGUUGUAGUGCCAAGAUUCAACAAUUCUGGUUGCCGGUACUAAGGUUUCCAGAAAUGUUAAAGGUGUAGGCAUUUUAAUACAAUGUUCUUACUUUUUGUCAGUCACCAUUGUUCAAAGCUAAUAAUUAUUAAAUGCAUACAUGAUUAUAUUUUUCAAAACUUAGUUUGAUUGUUGAAUAUCCCUCUCUGCCAAUAAUUUGUUUGUGUGAAGUGAAUUUCACCUUUUAUUCAAAGCAUGCAUCUGAAAGCCAAAUUACAUGUGAUGCAUAGAACACUUAUCUUUUUCCUGACAGUAGAUUCUCUGGGUAAGCCAUUAUGAAAGUAAACAGAUUAUUAUGAUAUUAUGAGUUUGUUGAUUUCAUGUUUUACACAUAUUAUUUCAAAAAUGAAAAAAAAAAACUUCUGUGUUUUUCAUAAUCAAUUAUCAGAUUGAAGUUUAUAUUAUAUUAAAAAGUUUGUAGUUUUGAAAAUUUUUGUUUGAAGGCUUUUCAUUUGUAAAAUUAUGUUCCAAUAUGAAUGUUUUUAGUUUCAGUGUUAUUUUCCAAACACUAAGGAGUUUUGAACAUGUAUUUACAGUGAAAUGAUUUCCAGGGGCUUACUCCAACAGUGAAUACUUGUGUAAAUGUACCUUCUUUUACCCUAUUAAAUAAUCAUGUCACAU